GCAUCAAUUACAAAUUCCAAUAGAUAUUGUAUAUAAAGAAAUCAGAGUUUUACUGCCUACAGUAUGAAUACUGGAGGGACAAAUGAACAUCCUAGUUUUUGUUAUGUAUCAGGCAGUGCAUAGGUUACCAAGUGUCAGUUUCAAAUUCAGUGGAAUAAUGGAUUUUGAUCUAGCAUGUUGGCUUAAUGAAAGAGGUUAAAUGCUCAGAGGAAUCAUCAUAAAGUAAACAUGCUAAUUGCUUACUGAGAGAUGUACUCAAAUUAUCCUAGUUUGACUCUUACAUAUAUCUGUGAAAUGGUCACUUUUUAUUUUAUUUUAUUUUAUCUUCUUUCUGUAGCAGUAAUAGUUAGAAAUCCUGUGAAAGCAUAAACUACCCCCAGUCUAAAAAGUUCAUAUCAUAUCUAAACUAGGAAGGAAAAAACAACACAGUUAUGAAUUACUAUUAUUCCGUUUUGCAAUCAUAAACAGGAAGCAAAGAUGGAAAGACAUAACAAAAAGAAGGAAAGGGAAAAUUAUCGUGAAAAGCAAGUAAACUUAAUAAGGCACAUUAAAAAGAGUCAAGAUUCUAAAAGUAUCAACCAAACAAUCCCUCAACUGUCUUCUCCGCGACCAAAAAGCAAUUUCAGAAUAAAAAAUAACCCUUUUGUUAUAUACUUAUUACAGAACACUAAAAGACACACUCCUUGUAUGUUGAUCUCGAUACAGGGGAUUGAGACAAGAAGCUUCAAAAACAUUCCGAAGAUUCAUUAACUCCAAACGUGGAACUAAACUAGUCCCUUGUGUUCUACUCUAGUUUUAGCCUUCUAACUGAAAACAAACACAAAUUUUCAAAAUUUAAAAAAAAGUAAAAAGUGGUGAUUAGUGAAGCAGAGAAGGUGCUUUUGUGAAGACCUAAAAAAUUCCAUUGAACCUUUGCAAAAUAAAAUCUGUUUUACUCAUUUUCUGUAAACACAGAAGGCUUUGACUAGUCUCUCAAUGACAACAAUCCCACCCCUUAACAUCCAAAAGCUCAAACUUUUUUUACUCUCACAUUUAUAUUCCUUCUGACACAAUCUUAUUCGAGGCACGAUCAUAUACUAAAAGUGGAUACUUUAUCAGAGAUUCAAGCUAUGAAGAUUAUGUAACAACAGCCAAAAGCCAGAAACAUACUCUCACUAGACACAAAACCCAACUAGAAAUCAACAGAAUGUUCCACACACCCAGAAUGAAAAAGAGAAAGAAACGCACCUGGGUGUUUUAAGUAAGAGCUGAAAGAAAGAAAAACCAGGCUUUUGGGUGGUUGGAAAAAACAGAGAUAACAGAGCAAAGACGAAGGCAGAGACUUUAAAAAACAAGGGAAAAGGCUAAGGAAGUGACUUCUGGGAUGGUUCGCACGUUAAAUGGAGAAAGUCGUUGAAAACGAGUGAAAUUGGAAACAUGGACGAGGCAAUUGAAUUUGUCUAAUGUCUUUUAUAUUUGCUGAGACAGAGAAAGAGAGAGAGAACGCAAUGGUAAGAACCGUCG
rnacentral:lncRNA from 1 species